GCAGAGUAGGAAGCUGCGUGUAUGGGGCCAUCGGCCCCCAGUGUCGGCGGGACGGGGAGUUGUCCGCCGGACGAAACAGCCCGUUGGGGCUUGCAGUGCCGCUUCCGCAUCCCGCUGC
rnacentral:ncRNA from 1 species